CACAUAUAUCAGUCAAUGAUAUUCUGGAAUUUUUUCCGGAAAUAAUCUGGUCCUAACUUGAACCUUGAAGACACGGCCUUUUUAAAGGCAUCAUAGUCAUCAGCUGCAUCCAGGGGCAGGCUGUUCAG